rnacentral:lncRNA from 1 species
AGCAGUUUCCAGGCUCCCCUCGGCGGGGCUGAAUGAUCAAAACUGGUGGUGAGAAUUUUUCCGGGCCGUUUCUAGGCAGCCCUCCCCCUCCACCAGCUCGGACCCCCCCCUCCCUCCUUUCUCCUUCUCCUCCCUUUUCCUUCUCCCCUCCCCCAGCGUCUGGGCUGAGUGAUCAAAAUAGAGGAAGAUGGUUGUCGCCGCAAUCCAGGGCUUUGCAAGGCGCGGUUUAAUGGGCCGCCUGUCAGCUUCCUGCUCGCAGGAGGAGGUGACAAGCCAAGCGAGCCGGAGAGGGCCUGGGGCCCGGCUGGCUGCACCCCGCACUCCGGGCCCCGGCCCCCGGCCUCCCCUGGGGUGCGCUUCUAGUACGCGCGGUGGAGACGCCGAAACAGACAAGGGCUGCUUUUUCCCUUGUUUUUUUUUUCUUCCUUUUAAAACAAAGCAGCGAUUCAUUCCCUCUCCCCCAGCAGCGCGGUCGGGUGGGAUGGGCAGGCGAGAAGGCCGUUUUCCUAGCACUGACCUACGGGUCCCUCCCUGAAACGCGGUGUCAGAUGGUUACUGAUUAAUAUUUUGGAGAGGCCGCGGCGGCAGGCAGCGGGGGGUUGGAUGAUGUUCCCCCAAAACUUCCUGUCCACCUGUGACCUCAGAAUGUGACCUUAUUUGGAAACAGGAUCUUUGCAGGUGUCAUUGGUUAAGUAUCUCAAGAGGAGAUCAUCCUGGGCUUAGGAUGGGCCCUAAAUCCAGUGACCGGUGUCCUUCCAAGAAAAGGAGGGGCGCCGGGCGGGCUGGUUCACACCUGUAAUCCCACCGCUUUGGGAGGCCAAGGCGGGCGGAUCAUGAGGUCAGGAGAUCGAGACCAUCCUGGCUAACAUGGUGAAACCCCGUCUCUACUAAAAACACAAAAAAUUAGCCAGGCGUGGUGGCGGGUGCCUGUAGUCCCAGCUACUCGGGAGGCUGAGGCAGGAGAAUCACUUGAACCUGGGAGGUGGAGGUUGCAGUGAGCUGAGAUCAUUCCAUUGCACUCCAGCCUAGGUGACAGAGAGAAACUCCAUCUCAAAAAAAAAACAAAGAAAAAAGAAAAGAAAAGGAGGGGACACAGGCACAGAGAAGGCCAUGUGACGACGGAGACAGAUGGGAGCGAUGCAGCUACAGGCCUGGGAACACCGAGGAUUUCUGGAGCCUCGGGAAGCUGCAGGGAGGGCUGGAACGGAGCCUCCCCGACGGCCUCCAGAAGCAGCCAGCCCUGCCCACACCUUGAGUUCGGACUGCUGGCCUCCAGCACUGUGCAAGAGCAAACUCCUGUCAUUAGAAGCAACCUAGGCUGUGGCCACCCGCCCAUCUCCCUAGGAGGUCUGGCUGCUCUUGGAUACCCGGAGCCUCCUACCUCAGCUUGCUGGGCACUGACCUUGAGCGUUGCUCCCUCGACCUGCAGUGCUCCCUGCAGCGCCCCACCCCAUGGGGGACACAGGAGGGGACUCUCAGAGCCGUCCCCCCGACAGGCCGAGGCUCCUCCCAGGAGAGGACCCCACUGCCCCGCCAGCACUGGACACUGGACACUGUUUUCCAUAAACAUUUCUUUGAACUGAAUUUCAUUCUUCUCACCCAAGAAAUCUCUGGAAAACAAUGCUGAGGCCAGGGUGGAGUGCCGGGGAGAGGGGAUGUUUUAAUGGUUUGUGGAGGGUUUUCUGUUUUGUUUUGUUUGUUUUUUUCUGGCAUUGUCUCUCUCUUCUGAUUUCCCUGUAACUGACAGGGAGGAAAUGGAUUCUGAAAAUGGGUUCCUUCCCACCCCUGGGGGCUCUGAGAUCAAAGUGUGGUGGGGCCGGGUGGACAGGACUUGGUGCUCCGAGGUGGGGUCCUUCCUGAUUCCCUCCCACCUUCUCCACCAUGCCCCCCUUUACCCAACGGGGCCUGGCCAGGAAGGGGCAUACCAGGGGGCUAUUCUGGGGGACAGGUCUCCAGGGCACCUGCCCUGCGUGCCCACCCAGUGAGGGGUUCCUGGCCCAGAGUUGCCCCCUCAGCAUAUCCCAGGGGGCUGGUGACCCUGUAGGCCCCUCCACUUUGCUAAAGAGGAUACAGGGAGGGUUGGUGGCCCAGAACUCACGAACCACUGCUGACCAGGAAUGGCCAAGGGAGGCCCACACAGAACACCCAAUCCCACAGCCACCUGCUCUAGUACCACUUGGGGCCUCUCCAGCCACUGGCCUGGCUGCAUUUGCUCUCCAAAACUGCCACUUUCUUUUAGUUUUUAAGGGACAGGCUCUUGCUCUGUCACUGAGGCUGGAGUCCAGUGGCACAAUCAUAGCUCACUGCAGCCUCAAACUCCCGGGCUCAAGCGAUUCUCCCACCUCAGCCUCCUGAGUAGCUGGGACCACAGGCACACGCUACCACAUUGGGUGUUUGGAUGGAUGAGUAGAUGGGUGGAUGGGUGGGUGGGUGGGUAGGUGGAUCGGUGGGUGAAUGAGUAGAUGGGUGAGUGGAUGGAUGGAUGGAUGGAUGAGUGUGUGGAUGGAUGGAUGGAUGGAUGGAUGGAGAAGUGGAUAGAUGAGUGAAUGGAUAGGUGGAUGGGUGGGUAGAUGGAUGGACAGGUGGGUGGGUGGGUGGGUAGGUGAACGGAAGAGUGGGUGGAUGGGUGAAUGGAUGGAUGGAUAGAUAGAUAGAUAGAUAGAUAGAUAGAUAAACAGACAGACAGAUAGGCUAAUGGAUGGAUGAAUUCGUGCUUUCUGUCCCUUGACCUGGUCUACAAGCCACUUCCCCAGCUAGACAAAGAGAGCUUAGAACCCCAUCCCUGCCAGGAAACAGACAAAAGCUGUCGGGGUCUUUUUUCUCUCUCUCAGCCUUACCUGGGACACACAGAGCUUUACGGUGGGGCCUUGUUCCAGUUGCUGCAGGCUGCCAUUCCUGAAGGUCGGGGGACAAGCUGCCUCUUCAACCCCAGCUCUGCUGGGGGCUCCUCAGCGGCUGGGGGAGUUGUGGGUGGGGCAGGAGACCUGGCGAGAAGCUCACGGGUACCCUCACCCACCUCAUCCCGCCCUGUGCCCAGCCCUGACCCCAGCCCUCCCUCUUUGUACCUCACCCCGUGGAAGGAAACACACUGAAGGUGGGGAGGGGUGGGCCAGAGCCUCAGACUCCUAAGACAAAGGGAGAAAAAUGGACCGAAGAGAGGCAGGGGGUAGACGCAGGCACUGCCUUUUUUCUUUUGUAGACAGGGUCUCACUCUUGUUCAGGCUGGAGUGCAGGGCGCCAUCAUAGCUCACCACAGCCUCCAACUACUGGGCUCAAGUGAUCCUGCCUCAGCCUCCAAAGUAGCUGGGACGACAGGCAUGCAUCACCAUGCUUGGCCAAUUUUUGUAUUUUUUGUACAGAUGGGGUCUCACUCUGUUGCCCAGGCUGAUCUUGAACUCCUGGCCUCCAGUGAUCCUCCUCAGCCUCCCAAAUCUUGGGGAUUACAGGCAUGAGCCACCACCCCCAGCCUUAUUUCCUGACAUUUCUAUGGUAAAAUUGAUUGCUUUUAUAAUCAGAAAAAAUAUACAGUGAGACUUAAAGACACGGUCUGUAACCUUGAGAGGCCAAAACAGCCCGCAGAGGGACAGGCGACUGGCCAUUUUGAUGCUAGGGCCCCAGGCACGAAGCAGGCAAGUCCCCCCUCCCCACUUUGGCCGGCGAGACUUUGAAAAGAAAGCUGGACGUGCAGGAGCAGGGGUUGGGAAGGGGAAUUCCAGGAAGGGGCCUGGGACUGGGGCCCUGGAACCAUGGUGGCCCCCCAGGCCAGAUCCACCCCUGGACAGGUGCAAGGACUCUGGGAGCGGCCCCAAGGAUCCAAAUACCUUCCUCAGCAGCCCCUUUAAUUUGCUUUCUGCAGAAAGUAAGCUAAUGCCGGCAGCGGAGACUUCAUUUAGGAGAAGAGCAGGCCUCGGCAUAUCCCUAGCAUUGGCAGCAUUCCUGGGAGGAGAGGAGGGGAAGGCUGGGGAGGGGAGGGAGACUGGGCUAGAGGGAGCCCGCAGAUUCACCUAAUUCCAGGGUGGAAUUGCUCGCCAGCCACCGUGCCCUCCAUCAUUCUCCAGAGGCCCCACCUAGUUUCCUCAUUCAUCAGUCACCAGGCCUUGUCCUAUGGCCCAGCCGGGGGGAGAUGUCAAGGCCAGGGACCCCUCUGAGGCUCAGAGAGGGGUGCGUAGCAGGAGCAGUAAAGCCAGGACUGGGCACGGUGGCUCACACCUGUGAUCCCAGCACUUAGAGAGACAGAGGCAGGAGGAUCGCUUGAAGCCAGGAGUUCAAGACCAACAUGGUGAGACCUCUGUCUCUGCCAAAAAAAAAAAAAAAGUACAUAUAUAUACACACGUAUAUAUAUAUACGUGUGUAUAUAUAUACGUGUAUAUAUAUACGUGUGUAUAUAUAUACGUGUAUAUAUAUACGUGUGUAUAUAUAUACGUGUAUAUAUAUACGUGUGUAUAUAUAUACGUGUAUAUAUAUACGUGUGUAUAUAUAUACGUGUAUAUAUAUACGUGUGUAUAUAUAUACGUGUAUAUAUAUACGUGUGUAUAUAUAUACGUGUAUAUAUAUACGUGUAUAUAUAUACGUGUGUAUAUAUGUAUAUAUAUACAAAUUUUUUAAAAGCCAGGACCUGCCUGGCCCAAGCUUCCUCCCUGGGGCCUCAGUAGAUGGUUCUAGACAGUGGAAUUCGUGUUCUAGGCCUGGGGCUCUGACCUCAGAGGCCCUGUCAGGAGAUUCAAACCAAGAAGUGAAAUGCAGUGAAAUUCAGACUUGUGCCUCUGUAUACGCCGCGGACACGUGUGUGCAAAGGCGUGUGCAUGUGCGUGUGCCUUGCUUCCUGGGUCAAAGUGGCUUCUGAUCCAGAGAUACUUUGAAGUUCCUUUUUUUUUUUUUUUUUUUUUUAGAGAGAGGGUCUUGCUCUGUCACCCAGGCUGGAGUGCAGUGGCGCGAUCACAGCUCACUGCAGCCUCAAACUCCUAGAUUCAGGCAAUCCUCCUGCCUCAGCCUCGCAAGUAGCUGGGAUCGAAAGCGUGCGUCACCACACCUGGCUAAUUUUUAAAUUUUUUCUAGAGACAGAGUCUGGCUAUGUUGCCCAGGCUGGUCUUGAACUCCUGGCCUGAAGCAACCUUCUGCCUCAGCCUCCCAGGUAUCUGGGACUGCAGAUGUGCACCACCAUCCCCAGCUAAUUUUUAAAUUUUUUCUAGAGAUAGAGUCUGGCUAUGUUGCACAGGCUAGUCCUGAACUCCUGGCCUCAAGCAGUCUUCCCACCUUGGCCUCCCAAAAAGCUGGGUUUAGGCGAGGCACGGUGGCUCACGCCUGUAAUCCCAGCACUUUGGGAGGCCAAGGCAGGCAGAUCACUUGAGGUCAGGAGUUUGGGGCCAGCCUGGCCAACAUGGUGAAACCCUGUCUCUACUAAAAAUACAAAAAAUAGCCAGGCAUGGUGGUGUGCGCCUGUAAUCCCAGCUACUCGGGAGGCUGAGGUAGGAGAAUUGCUUGAACCUGGGAGGCGGAGGUUGCAGUGAGCCAAGAUCGUGCCACUGUACUCUAGCCUGGGCGACAGAGCGAGCCUCCGUCUCAAAAAAAUAAAACAAAAUAAAAGGUUGGGUUUAUAGGCAUGAGCCACUGCACCUGGCCACUUCUAAGUCUUACUGGUUCCCUGCUCUGGGCAAGGCCUGGGCACAAUUUUACAGACGGGGAAAAUGAGGCCCAGGAUCCCACGGUGGUAGAACCGGCUUCUCACAGGCCUGCCGACUGGAAACUCCUCACAGGGUUCCCCCUGAGCCAACAUCCCCCUCCCGUGAUCCCAACCAGAGCUCCUUGCUGUCCUGGGCUGUGUCCCCAAUGGCGGGGCUGUGUCUCCGGCUCCUGGCCUAGGUGGCUCUGAGGGCACCUCUCUGGGCCUGGUCUGGCUGGAGGGGGCCCCAGGAGAGGGUCCCACAGGCGCCCCCCACCAGUCCGCGCCUGCUCCUUCCAGAUUCUGCAGGCUCUGGUGACACCUGCUGGCCACGCAUCCCAUCACCAUAGCAACCCAGGCUGGGCCUCUCAGCCCCCAGCAAGGUUCCCAUCUCAGACACAACGACUCCACCCCCACUGUGUGGGGCCCCAGGCCUCAGCUCAGAGGGGCCCCACCUCCCGCCACCCCCCUCCAGCUCCUCUGGGUCCCUCUGCUCAGUCCCCCUGGCCUGUGUCCACUUCACCCCAAGUCCUUCACCAUGCCCUGAACGGAGCCUAUCUCCCGUCACCCGGACAGUCACCUGUCACCUUGGCGCUGUCACAGCUCAGCCCCAUCCCCAGCUUCUCUGUGGCCCCCACAGACUCAGCAGGCUUUCGCAGACACACAGACACCUGUCCUGCCCGCGCUGUGCCUCAGGGAGAGGCGCAGGUCCCACCAAGCUGCACUGCCAGCCCCAUAAACGGCCCUGCGGUUCCCACCCGGGGGCUCUGCACCUGCGGCUCCCUCCCCAGAAUGCUUUUUCCAGCUUCCUCAGUCUUGCUAACAGUGAUUCAGCCAAGCCUUCCAGAACAUUCCGCCGGCUGUGACCUCCCCAAACCCUGCUCUGUGUUCCUCACACUGUCAUGGCCUGGGGACUGUCCCAUCCCAGCCAGGCCUCCUCCGUGGUGCUGCCAUGAUUUCAGGAUCCCCACGUGUCCAGGGCUGAGCCCAGGGCCGACCUAGGAGGUGUCUGCUGCCCUGAUCCUCUUGACCCUCCCACUCCAGGCCCCAGUCCCACCCCAGGAGGGUCCUCCCCAUCCCCACUCUCCCCUCCUCCCAGGGUCUGCAGGGAGCAGCUGGGCCACCACUUUGCCCAGAGGCAGUCCUGGGGCACAACCUGAGCCCACGUACCCAGCGUGGCACAGCCAGGGACGCAGUGCACAGGAGAGGGCUUAAGGGACCUCCCUGGAGACCCCCAAGUGGCUCCUCGAGUGACGGGGGCUGGUCAUGGACGUUGAACCACCUGGAGGGAGGCUGUGUGGAGAGGCCGAGCUCAAGAGACAGAGCCUUGGUCCUCCUGCCUGCCCCAGGGUGGCCUGUGGUCCUGGGCUGGCCACCACCUCUCGGGGCCUCAGUCUCCCCAUCUGCACUGGAGCGGGUGGGCACACUUGACCCCAUGGCUUGGCAAUGCCUGGCCACACUGCAGGGGCCGAGGGGGUGGCCAGCCCUGCCCCUGAUGCCCACCACACCCUAGGGACGGCUCAGAGCCCAGCCGCUCCUGGGGGCCUGGUCUAUGCCUGUCCCUGGCCCCACACCCCGCAGUCUGGUGGCAGCUGCUGCACCCGCACCUGGAAUGUCCCUGAAAUCCCCAAACCUCAGCUGACCCCAUGGGGGAAAGAGGGCUGGAACCUGCCCCCCUCUCCUCCCCUCCAAGGUGCAGACCCACCCUGUCCCCACACAGAGGGCACACUGAGUGCCCUGCCCCGCCCCGCUCUGCCCAGAGAGGCCGGAACAUCAGGGGAGCUUGGGCCAGUCUGGCCACGCCUUGGAAAUAGUGGCCACGCAUCAGCCCGGGGAGGCCCCAGGCCUGGUCAGCCUCCAGGUCCUGCCCGCCAGGCUCAGCUUCCCGGCCCUCCCGCCUCCUCUCCCCGCUCCGGUUAAUCUGUCAGUUCCAUCUGUCUCUGUCUUGUUUGUCUCUCUAUCUCUGUCUCAGUCUGUCUCGAUCUCUGUCUCUGCCUUGCUAUCUCUGUCUCCAUCUGCCUCUCUCUCUGUCUCUGCCUAUUUGUCUGUCUCUGUCUCUCCAUCUCUCUCUCUCUUUAUUUUUAAAAUUUUCUUUUAUAUAGAGACAGAGUCUUGCUGUGUUGCCCAGGCUGGUCUUCAACUCCUGGGCUCCAGUGAUCCUCCAGCCUUGGGCUCCCUAAGUGCUGGGAUUACAGGUGUGAACCACCGUGCCCAGCCAAGAAACAUCUCUAAACCCCUCUCUUCCUCCCAGCAGUGACUGUGAAGGGCACUGGGGACAAAUCCCUUUUUGAAAGGAUCUUCUGGAUGAUGUCAUGGAUUUGGGCCUCUUCCUGCUGGGGGUCACUGGGUGGUACUUCUUGGCCAUCCAGCCAAUAGCAACAGGCCAGCAUGUGAUGACGUCACUGUCACCCCCACUGUCUCCUCGGGUUCCAAGGAGCAAGAGGCUUGCACCAUUCCUCUCUAAUCUGAGAUGGAUUUUGUGGGUUUGCGUGGGGGGAAGGUUUUGUUUUUUUUUUUUUUAGCAAGAAUCUUCUUAAGCCAUACACCCAUCUCAUUAGGAUUAGUUUUGUUAAUCUAUAGAUCCACUUAUUCGGCCGCACGCCAGCCUCCGAGUGUCCCAAACACGAAGUCAAAGGGUGAGCAGAGCACCUCGGGCCGGCCCUCCUCCCCUGGGAGGAUCCACCUCUCCCAUGGGACAGGGACAGCUACGACUUUCGGCGGCUCCCUUCUAGGCACUGUUCCAAGCAUCUCAUGGACUGUUCUGUGUCUCCUCCCAAAGGAGGAGGGGGAAACUGAGGCCUCAGGAAAGGGGCAGCUUGCACAGAGCCAUACAGCCGGGGCCUCAGAUAAAUGUGAUUGCUCCAGAUCCCUACCAGCACAAGUCAGGCAAAUCUGUACAUUCAAUGUUAGCAAAGUUUGGUUGGUUGGUUGGUUGUUUUUUAGAGAGAGGGUCUCACUGUGUUGCCCAGGCUAGUCUUGAACUCGAGCUCAAGUGAUCCUCCUGCCUCAGCCUCCAAAGUGCUGGGAUUACAGGCAUGAGCCACUGCUACUGGCCUGCAAAGUUUUUGUUUGUUUGGUUUGAGAGUCUUGCUUUGUCACCCAGGCUGGAGAACAGUGGCACAAUCAUGAUUCACUGCAGCCUCCACUUCCUGGGCUCAAGCGAUCCUUCUGCCUCAGCCUCCCAAGUAGCUGGGACUGCAGGCAUGCACCACUACACCCGGCUAAUUUAUUUAUUUAUUUAUUUUUUUUGAGACGGAGUUUUGCUCUUUUGCCCAGGCUGGAGUGCAGUGGCACAAUCUCAGCUCACUGCAACCUCUGCCUUCCAGGUUCAAGCGAUUCUCCUGCCUCAGCCUCCUGAGUAGCUGGGAUUACAGGUGCCUGCCACCAAACCUGGCUAAUUUUUGUAUUACUAUUAAAGAUGGGGUUUCACCGUGUUGGCCAGGCUGGUCUCGAACUCCUGACCUCAUGAUCCACCUGCCUCCGCCUCCCAAAGUGCUGGGAUUACUGGUGUGAGCCACGGUGCCGAGCCACAUCCGGCUAAUUUUUUAAGAUUUCUGAUUAUUGUAGAGAUGGGGUCUCACUAUGUUGCCCUGGCUGGUCUUGAACUCUUCCUGGCCACAAGUGAUCCUCCUGCCUCGGCUGUUUUAUUCUUAUUUUAUAGAAAAGAAUAACUUAAAAAGAAAGUGUUAUUUUUUUUUUCUCACGUGAGUAAAUGAUCUUGUGCAUCCACUCCAGAGGCCACUGGAUUAGUAUCAGUUUGAUGUCUUGUUACCCAUCCAGACUGAUUUCUGAGAAGCAGGAGGAAAGAAAUGAGUUCCUCAAUGAGUGAAAAGAAAGAACCUCAUUUUACAGAUGGGGCCCUGAGUGAGGCUCAGAGAGGUUCAGGAAGCUGCCCCAGGGCACACAGCGAGGGAGCAACAGAGCCUGGGAGCCGAGGACAGGGACACCCUCCAGCCUGCAGGGCCCCAUCAGCACCCAGGUUGCAGAGUGGGGACUCACGGAGGAGAAGGCGUCCCCAGGGCAUAAGACGCCUCCCCCACUGCCCAUCAGCGCAGAUGGCCACCCGAGCUGCCAGUGAGAGAGGACGCGCUGCUUGGCUAAGCCGCUGUUGUUUGGGAUUUUCUAUCUCUCGAAUCCUAAAGGGUAGAGUUUGCUUACCAAUGCCGCCCUCACCCCUACAGUUGGGGAAACCAGAGCCUGGAGGGUGGUGCUCUAAGAGUGAUCCCAGUCACACUGGCACUCCGAGUGCCACCUUCCACGCCGUCACUUUAGGAGUUUGCUGUGAGGUUAGCCUCAUCAGCAAACUCGAGGCUGGCUUCCUAUCCUCUUGCUCAGGGAGCAACCCUGGCACUACUGGGGAGGACUCUUGGGGAUUAUCUUGAGAGCACUCUCAGAGGAGCACUCCAAGGAGUACUCUUUGGGAGCAUAUCUGGGGAGCACUCUUGGGGGGGAACAUAUCUGGGGAGCAGUAUCGGGAGCACCUGCAGGGAGUAUUCUCGGGCAUAUGCUUGGGUAGCACUCUCAAGGAGCACUCAGGGCACAUACUUGAACAUUCUCAGGCCACAUACUUGGGGAGCACCCUCAGGGAAGUACUCUAGGGAGUACUCUUGGGGAGCCUAUCUGGGGAGUAGCAUCAAGGAGCACUCUCGUGGGAGCACUACCUUAGUCUCCUUGCUCGCCACUGGCUUCACUGGCGUCAGAAGCAAUUCCACAAGCCCAGCCCCUCCUGUCCUCCCUGAUUCCCCACAGGACAGUGCCAUCCCCUCGGUGGGAAUGGGCUCCUAUUAUGGGUUUGCAUUCCCAUGGCGCCAAGUCGGUCCUGAGAAGAUCCUCCGGGAUUGCUGACCAUCCACUUCCCCGCAGGGGGGCUCAAACCCAGGCUGUGAAUUCGGGGAAGUGGGAAACAGAACUUUUUGGAUGUCCCUAGAUGGUGCCUCCCCCCCACCCCCACUACACACACACAAACACACACACACACACACACACACCACUUCCAUGGCGCCAGGAGAGAGUUUGGUCCUUCAGCAAGAUCACACUCUUCUCCAUAUGACCCCAGCCAAUGAGCGGGCGAGACCUGGCCAUCUCUGCCCCAUGCGGGACUCUCUCAUGGGCCGUGCUGGCUCCAGCAUCGCAGUCUAACAGCUCCCUGCCGCAUUUCGUUCCCUCUGUGCUCCUUCCCCAGUGUCACUCCUCCUUCAAACCCCAAGAACCCGUUUGCCCUCCGCAGUCCUUCUCAGCAUCUGCUUCCUGAACGACCCAACCUCCGUUCUGCACUGGCCCGGUCACCCCACCGAAACUGGCAACUCCUGCUCCCACCUAACGUCAUCAUGGGACCUAAAAGCAGACCAGUCCCCACUGCUGUCCUCCCCGAGGCUCAGCUCUGCCCAGGAACCCGCUGCCUGCUCCCAUCCCUGGUCCUUUAGGCCCAUGGCAUCUGCUCUCUCGGGACAGUGCUCCCCCUGCACCAGUCAGCCUGCCCUGGGCUCUCAGGAGGCAAAGCCAGCCAUCCCUCAGUUUCCACUUCACCCCUUCCCAAGGCAGUGAGCUUGGGGGCAGCUCGAAUCAGUGGGAGGACAAACCAAGGGGGAUCUCAAACUCAUCACGAUGUGCUCGCACAGAAACCCCUCAUCUCACGCGGUCAAUUACAAACCCUGGGAAGUGGGGACAGGCGAGGCCCAAGGGGCCCUGAGAGCAGGGAGGCAGAGCCUGAGGGCAGAUUCUCUGAAUCCUGAAGAAUAAGCAGAAGCAGCAAACUCAGCAAGGUGGGGGGGCUCCAGGCAGAGGGAACAGCUUGUGCAAAGGCCCUGGGGCAGGCCAAGGGCAGAGAACUUAAGGUAUGGAAAAAAAAAAAAAAAGGCAUGGAAAGGAGGCCAGCAUGGCUAGGAGCAGAGAACAGAGAAGGGAGGUUGGGAGGUGAGAAGGGAUGGCCCUGGGUGCUGAGACUCAGAACAGAAUGGGCCAGUCCCCUUUUUUUGUUUGUUUGAGACAGAGUCUUGUUCUGUCAUCCAGGUUGGAGUGCAGUGGUGCAAUCUCGGCUCACUGCAACCUCCAUCUCCUUGGUUCAAGUGAUUCUCCCACCUCAGCCUCCCAAGUAGCUGGGAUUACAGGUGCACGCCACCAUGCCUAGCUAAUUUUUGUGUUUUUAGUAGAGAUUGAAAUUCACCAUGUUGGCCAGGCUGGUCUCAAACUCCUGUCCUCAAGUGAUCCACCUGCCUUGGCAUCCCAAAGUGCUGGGAUUACAGACGUGAGCCACUGCACCUGGCCUAGGGCUGUCCCCUCUAAGAACACACAGACUUGUGGGUGAUGGUCAGAGGACAGCUCAGAUGAGCUCAGCUCAGGUCAGUUCCACAGGAGUCACUAUACUACAUUUUACAAAGGGAUUGGGGGGACUCUGUGAGCACCACAAAAUUCGAUCUGUCCCAUUCUGUGGCAGCUGUGUGGUGUGGGUGCCACAGAAUGGGUGACUACUCUAAGCAAAUCAAGGUGCUCUCAUUCCCCUGGUCAGAGCAAUUGGUUCAGUAGUAGGAAUAAACAAGGAAUCCCACAGCCCAGCUGGCUGGCAGCUAUCCUAAACUGAGUCCUUAGAGAUGUAAGCUGCUGGAUCAAGCUCGACCUGAAGCCUACCCUACCACUGCACAUUUUCCAUCACACCAAAUUCCCUGCAUUGUGAAGCUGUUUCGAGCUAGGUUUUUUAUUAUUUGCUACCAAACACAUCCUGCAACAGGUGGUGGGAGUGAGUUCCUGCAGAAACUCAAUGGAGCAUUAAGGCCACCUCGGAAGCCAUACACAGCAGUCUCCAGAGGGCAGCAAGCUAGAGAAUGACUCUGCAGUGUCAGGGAGGGUCAAGCUGUAUUUUAAAAAGCAACGGAAGGCUUGGGAAAUGCAGCUUUUAGAUAGCAAAGGUCUGUGGUGCCCCAAGUGGCCCCCAUCAGCCAGGAGUGGGUGUUUUGGAGGGAGGAGGUGGCUGGCCUGGGGAAUGGGUCCAGGCCUCCCAGUUCACCAGAUCUCCAGGCCACGUUAUGGCGGAAGGCCAUCCCUAUCGCUGUGCCUGGCUGGCCUGGGCCCACAGCCUGCCUCGCCGGGGAAAGGAACCCCUGCCACGACGGAGCAACUAUUCAAUUCUCUCAGCGAGAGCGCUGCCAGCUUCCUCACUCACACAGCCCAGCUGGAGAACUGCCCACAAGUUAAAAAAUAUUUCUUUCCAGCAGACAUUGCUCCGGCGGAUUCAAGCCUUAUCUUUCUCUUCCAGAGGAGAAUUGUUCAUUUCACUUCCUUAAAAAAAAAAAACAACCCCAAAACCUUAAACCACAAACUGAAAAGCAGGUGGGACCGUUUCAGGAUUUGGCUGAAGUUUGUCUCAGAGCUGAUAAGGGACAGUCAGUUGUUUCUGGGCAACACAGCAGCGAACGGGCAGGGAGACGGGUCCACACUGUCCGUCAAUAAAACCACCCCCCAAGGCCUUGCUCUGUAUAGAGAGGUUUCUGGCCACCCACAGUGGCUCACGCCUGUAAUCCCAGCAUUUUGGGAGGCCAAGGCGAGUGGAUCGCUUGAGGUCAGGAGUUCGAGACCAACCUGGCCAACAUGGUGAAACCCCGUCUCUACUAAAAAUACAAAAAUUGGCCGGGCGUGGUGGCUGAUGCCUGUAAUCCCAGCACUUUGGGAGGCUGCGGCGGGCGGAUCACGAGAUCACGAGUUCGAGACCAGCCUGAUCUACAUGAUGAAACUCCGUCUCUACUAAAAAUACAAAAAUUAGCCAGGCAUUGUGGCGUCCACCUGUAAUCCGAGCUACUCAAGAGGCUGAGGCAGGAGUAUCGCUUAACUCGGGAGGCAGAGGUUGCAGUGAGCCAAGAUUGCGCCACUGCACUCCAGCCUGGGCAACACAGCGAGACUCCGUCCCCCAAAAAAAAAAAAAUUAGCUGGGCGUGGUGGCACAUGCCUAUAGUCCCAGCUACUUUGGAGGCUGAGGCAUGAGAAUCACUUGAACCCGGAGGCAAACAAUGUCUUAACAGAGCAGAAAUGUCAACGCUGGCUGCUGGGUUGGCAGGGCAUUUUGAAAGCAAGUGUGGGCUGGAUGUGGUGGCUGACAGCUGUAAUCCCAGCACUUUGGGAAGCCAAGUUGGGAGGAUUGGUUGAGCCCAGGAGUUUGAGACCAGCCUGGGCAACAUAGUAAGACCCCUCCACCCACAGCCCAUCUCUACAAAAAAUUAACUGGGCAUGGUGGUAUGUACCUAUAGUCACAGCUACUGAGGAAGCUGAGGGUAGAGGACUGCCUGAGGCCAGGAAGUCGAGGCUGCAGUGAGACAUGAUCAUGCCAUUGCACUCCAGUCUGGAUGAUAGAGCAAGACACUGUCUCAAGAAAGAAAAAAACAGAAAGAGAAGAAAAGAAAACAAACGUGUGACCUACUCCAGAACUCAGGCCGGCGGUAGGAUUUUACCAGACACAGGUCUGCAGAGAUGGACCACAGGGCCCUGGCCUUGGCUCAGCCCCAGUACAGUAAGUAAUCAAUAAAUAGCACAAGGGGGCCGGGCGUGGUGGUUCAUGCCUGCAAGCCCAGCACUUUGGGAGGCCAAGGCGGGUGGAUCACCCGAGGUCAGGAGUUUGAGAUCAGCCUGACCAACAUGGUGAAACUCCAUCUCUAUUAAAAACACAAAAAAUGCUGGCUGGGCACGGUGGCUCACACCUGUAAUCCCAGCACACUGGGCGGCCGAGGCAGGUGGAACACGAGGUCAGGAGAUCAAGACCAUCCUGGCUAACAUGGUGAAACCCCGUCUCUACUAAAAAUACAAAAAAUUAGCCAGGCGUGGUAGCAGGCGCCUGUAGUCCCAGCUACUCAGGAGGCUGAGGCAGGAGAAUGGCGUGAACCUGGGAGGCAGAGCUUGCAGUGAGCAGAGAUUGUGCCACUGCACUCCAGCCUGGGCAACAGAGUGAGACUCCAUCUCAAAAAAAAAAAAAAAUACAAAAAAUUAGCUGGGCAUGGUGGUGUGCACCUGUAAUCCCAGCUACUCGGGAGGAUGAGGCAGGAGAAUCACUUGGGCCCAGGAGGCAGAGGCUGCCGUGAGCUGAGAUCACGCUGUCGUACUCCAGCCUGGGCAGCAGAGUGAGACUCUGUCUCUAAAUAAAUAAAUAAAUAAAUGGCACAAGGGCAUAGCAGUCACCUGAUGAGUCACGCAGCCUUUUGGCCAGGCACAGUGGCUCGUGCCUGUAAUCCCAACACUUUGGGAGGCUGAGGCGGAAGGCUUGCUUGAGGCCAGGAGUUCAAGACCAGCCUAGGCAACAUAGUGAGACCCCAUCUCUACAAAAAAAAUAAGCCAAGUGUUGUGGUGCAUGCCUGUAAUAUCACAUACUUGGGAGGCUGAGGCAGGAGAAUCACUUGAACCUGGGAGGUGGAGGUUGCAGUGAGCCAAGAUCGCACUUCAGCCUGGGCGACAGAGUGAGUGAGACUCGGUCUCCAAAAAAACAAACAAACAAAAAGACAGUGCCUGACACAUAGUGAAAUAGGGCUACUAUUAAUUGUUAGACAUUGUGAAAUUUAAUAUAAUCAUGAAACACUCUGCAAAUACAAAGGCCAAUAGUUGAAGACACAGAGAUACCAUGAGUCUGUCAUUACCACGCCCCUUCCUCCCCCUCCCUCAAAUAAUGCCUCAAUUCAUAACUUUGUUAUUUUGUUUUUUGAGACAGGUUCUCGCUCUGUCACCCAGGCUGGAGUGCAAUGGUGCGAUCUCCGCUCACCGCAACCUCUGCCUUCUGGGUUCAAGUGAUUCUCAUGCCUCAACCUCCCGAGCAGCUGGGGUUACCGGCAUGUGCCACGACACCAGCUAAUUUUUGUAUUUUUAGUAGAGAUGGGGUUUCACCAUGUUGGCCAGGCUGGUCUUGAACUCCUGACCCCAAGCGAUCUGCCCACCUCGGCCUCCCAAAGCCCUGGGAUUACAGCCGUGAGCCACCAUGCCCAGACUCAGGCCUAAUCUGAUGGCAGAGGCUUGGGACGUGCACCCGGGCCUCCAUCCCAAGCCCGGCCUCGCUAUCUGCACAUUGCCGCCCCUCUGCAGCCCCGAAACAUUUGUUCCACCAGCUGCAAGGGCGUUCUCACCUCCCUUCAUCCCUCACCAUAUUUUUUUGUUUUGUGGAAGCUGCACAGUUCUGAAGUAAUCGUGCUACUGGGAAACAGGGCUGAGAGUCUCGUUUGUUCAAAGAAAAUCUUUUCCUUCCACGCACAAGUGCUGUGUUUGCACCAUAAAUUGCCUUCUGCAUUAGGUCCCCGCCAGCCUUUCUCCUGGUGUCCUGGUGCCCAACCCUCCCCGAAGGGCUCCAGUCCUGCACUCUCGGGGUGGCAGGUGGCUGCAAACACAGCCGGACCUGAGCCCAGCUCAGCAGCUCAGGGAUAGGUCAGGGAAUAACAAGGGCAGGAGUUCACAUUUAUUGAGCACCUACUAUGUGCUGGGCACUGCACUGGGCACUUCCUUAAUCGGCUGCAUUUUCUUCCUUCCAGCCAGGCACGGUGGCUUCUACCUGUAAUCCCAGCGCUUUGGCAGGCUGAGGCCAGAGGAUCGCUUGAGCCCAGGAGUUCCAGACCAGCCUGGGCAACAUACUCGGUUGAUACAAAAGUAAUUGUGAUUUUUGCCAUUAAAAGUAAUGGCAAGAACCACCUUUACUUUUGCACCAACCUAAUUACAAGACGCCAUCCCUACAAAUUUAAAUUACCAGGUGUGGUGGUGAGUGCCUGUAGUCCAAGCUACUUGGGAGGCUGAAGUGGGAGGAUUGCUUACACCCAGGAGGUCAAGGCUGCAGUGAGUUAUGAUCGUGCCACUACACUCUGGCCUGGGCAACAGAGCAAAACUCUGUCUCUAAAAGAAACAAAAUUGGCCAGGCGCAGUGGCUCAUGCCUGUAAUCCCAGCACUUUGGGAGGCCAAGGCGGGCAGAUCACCUGAGGUCAGGAGUUUGAGACCAGCCUGGCCAAUAUGGUGAAACCCUGUCUCUACUAAAAAUACAAAAAUUGGCCAGGCAUGAUGGCGGGCGCCUGUAGUCCCAGCUACUCGAGAGGCUGAGGCAGGAGAAUCACUUGAGCUUGGGAGGCAGAGGUUGCAGUGAGCCGAGAUCAUGCCACUGCACUCCAGCCUGGGAGACAGUGCAAGACUCCGUCUCAAAAGAAAGAAAAAAAAGAAACAAAAUCAGCUGGGCACAGUGGUUCACUCCUGUAAUCCCAGCACUAUGAGGGACUGAAUCACCUGAGGUCGAGUUCGAGACUAGCCUGGCCAACACAGUGAAGCCCCGUCUACUAAAAUUAGCUGGCAUGGUAGCACACACCUGUAAUCCUAGCUACUCAGGAGGCUGAGGCAGGAGAAUGGCUUGAACCCAGGAGGUGGAGGCUGCAGUGACCCAAGAUCGCACCACUGCACUCCAGCCUGGGCAACAGAGUGAGACUCUGUCUCCAAAAAAGAUAAAAGAAAAGAAACAAAAUCCUCACAGAACGCCGUGAGGUGGGCCCAUCCAUCAUUAUCUCAUUUUACAGAGAAAAAAUGAAAGUAUUCACUUGCCCGAGGCCGGUACAGGAAGCCAGGCAUUACCUACCCCACUGUGGGUACCCACUGGUACGUUGGGAGAUGAAUUCAUCUCCUGUUGGCACGCAUUUCCUUUUUACAUAAAAUUACAUAAAACAGAAUCAGUCACUAUGUCACAAGCCAUGGCAGAGGGAGGCCCCGGGCUGGGUCAGGCGUUGCAGGCAGUACCCAGCUCGCCAUGGAUUGUGGCCAAAUGAGGUUGAGAGACGAUGUUUUCACCUGCAGCUCUCAAAUGCUUGCUCUCAGGAAUCUCCACUCUCUUACUGGGGACCCAGCCGCAAAUGACAUCUUAAUAACAAUAUGAAAAUAAUUUUGCCAGAUGCAGUGGCUCAUGCCUGUAAUCCCAGCACUUUGGGAGGCCGAGGCGGAUGGAUCACGAGGUCAGGAGAUUCAGACCACCCUGGCUAACAUGGUGAAACCCUAUCUCUACUAAAAAUACAAAAAAUUAGCCAGGUGUGGUGGCGGGCGCCUAUAGUCCCAGCUACUCGGGAGGCUGAGGCAGGAGAAUGGUGUGAACCCAGGAGGCGGAGCUUGCAGUGAGCCAAGAUCGCGCCACUGCACUCCAGCCUGGGCGACAGAGUGAGACUUGGUCUCAAAAAAAAAAAAAAAAAAAAUAUAUAUAUAUAUAUAUAUAUAUAUAAUAUAUAUACACACACACAUGCAUAAAUGACCAGUGAGCACAUGCAAAGAAGCCCAACCUUAUUAACCAUCAGGGAAAUACAAAUCAAAAGUAUCAUGAGAUACUACCACCUCACAUCUACUAAGAUGCCUGUAAUCAAACAGACAGAAAACAGCAAGUGUUGGCAAGCACAUGAAGAUAUUGGAACCCUCAAAUAUUGCUGGUGGGAAUAUAAAAUGGUGCAGCUGCUGAGGAGAACAGGUUGGCAUUUCCUGAAAAUGUUGCCGUAUGACUUAGCAAUUUUACUUCUAGUAUAUAUCCAAGAGAAUUGAAAACACGUCCACCUAAGAAUUUGGCCAUGAGGGCUGGGGCAGUGGCUCAGGCCUGUAAUUCCAGCGCCUUGGGAGGUCAAGGCAGGAGGAUCACUUGAGGCCAGGAGCUCCACAUCAGCCUGGGCAACAUAACAAGACCUCAUCUCCACAAAAUAUUUAAAAUUAGAUGGGUGUGGUGGUGCAUGCUUGCAGUCCCAGCUACUUGGGAGGCUGAGGCAGGAGGAUUGCUUGAGCCCAGGAGGUCAAGGCUGUAGUGAACCACGAUUGUGCCACGGCACUCCCUCCUGGGUGACAGGGUGAGACCCUGUGUCAAAACAGAAAAAAAAAAGUUUUGGAAUGGAUGGUGGUGAUGAUUGCACAACAUAAAUGUGCUUCAUGCCCCUGAACUAUAUAUAUAUUUAUUUAUUUAUUUAUUUAUUUAUUUUUUUUUUUUUUUUUUUUUUUUUUUUUUGAGACGGAGUCUCGCUCUGUCGCCCAGGCUUGAGUGCAGUAGUGCAGUCUCGGCUCACUACAACCUCUGCCUCCCAGGUUCAAGCGAUUCUCCUGCCUCAGCUUCCUGAGUAGCUGGGAUUACAGGCGUGCGCCACCACACCCAGCUAAUUUUCAUAUUUUUAGUAGAGACGGGGUUUCGCCAUGUUGGUCAGUCUGGUCUCGAACUACUGACCUCAUGAUCCACCCACCUCAGCCUCCCAACGUGCUGGGAUUAAGGUGUGAGCCACCGCGCACCUGGCCUGAACUAUACAUUUUUAAAUAACUGGCCGGGCGCGGUGACUCAGGCCUGUAAUCGGAGCACUUUGGGAGGCCAAGGUGGGCGGAUCACGAGGCCAGGAGUUCAAGACCAGCCUGGCCAACAUGGUGAAACCCUGUAUCUACUAAAAAUACAAAUAUUAACUGGGCAUGGUGGCUCAUGCCUGUAAUCCCAGCACUUUGGGAGGCCGAGGCAGGCGGAUCACCUGAGGUCAGGAGUUCAAGACCAGCCUGGUCAACAUGACAAAACCCUGUCUCUACUAAAAAUACAAAAAUUAGCCAGGCAUGGUGGCGCACAUCUGUAAUCCCAGCUAUUCGGGAGGCUGAGGCAGGGAGAAUUGCUUGAACCCAGGAGGCAGAGGUUGCAGUGAGCCGAGAUCACGCCACUGGACUCCAGCCCAGGAGACAGAGCAAGACUCCAUCUCGAAAAUAAAAUAAAAUAAAAUAAGAAUACAAAAAUCAGCUGGGCGUUGUGGCAGGUGCCUGUGGUUCCAGCUACUUGGGAGGCUGGGGCAGAAGAAUUGCUUCAACCCAGGAGACGAAUGUUGCAGUGACCCGAGAUGACACCACUGAACUCUAGCCUGGGCCAAUGAGCAAAACUCUUAUCUCAAAAAAAAAAAAAAAAAAAACACUAAGAUGGUUAAUUAAAAAAAAAAAAAAAAGUGGGUGGGAGCAUGGAACAUAUAUUCACAUUUGUUUGGAUAUUAAAAAAAAAAAAACUACCAGUGGCUGGGCGUGGUGGCUCACACCUGUAAUCCCAGCACUUUGGGAGGCCGAGGUGGGCAAAUCACCAGAGGUUAGGAGUUUGAGACCAGCCUGGACAACACGGUGAAACCCCGUCCUACUAAAAAUAUAAAAAUUAGCCGGUUGUGGUGGUGCGCGCCUGUAAUCUCAGCUACUCGGGAGGCUGAGGCAGGAGAGUCACUUGAACCCAGGAGAUGGAGGUUGCAGUGAGCCGAGACUGUGCCAUUGCACUCCAGCCUGGGCGACAGAACGAAGCUCCAUCUCAACAAACAAUACUAAUAAAAUAAACAACUUUCUUACAAUCAAAAUAAAAGAUCAUAUCGUAUCUAGUUUCUGCAACUUCUCUCUGGGAUCAAUAGACUGUGAACUAUUUUUUGUUUACCAGAUCUAUGAUAGGUACGAUUUUAUUGAUUAUUUUUUUUGAGACGGUCGUGCUCUGUCGCCCAGGCUGCAGUGCAGUGGCAUGAUCUCAGCUUACUGCAACCUCCGCCUCCCUGGUUUGAGUGAUUCUCCUGCCCCAGCCUCCCAAGUAACUGGGACUACAGGCGCACACCACCACACACAGGUAAUUUUUGUAUGUUUAGUCGAGACGGGGUUUCACCAUGUUGGUCAGGCUCUUCUGGAACGCCUGACCUCAAGUGAUCCACUCACCUCAGCCUCUCAAAGUGGACUGAUUGAUUGACUGAUUGAUUGAUUGAGACAGUCUCACUCUGUUGCCCAGGCUGGAGUGCAGUGGUGCGAUCAUAGCUCACGGCAGCUUUGAACUCCUGGACUCAAACAGUCCUCCCACCUCACACCACUGCACUCCAGCUCGGGCAACAGAGCAAGACUGUGUCUCAAAAAUAAAAAUAAACAAAAAUAAAAUCUGGAAAAAGGGGGAGAGAGGGAGGGAGGGGAGAAAUGGUGGAAAAACUACCUAUUGGGUACUAUGUUCGCUAUUUGGGUGAUGAGUUCACUGGAAGCCCAAACCCCAGAUUAUACAAUACACCCAUGUACAAAAGCUGCACAGGUACCUCCUAAAUUUUUUUUUUUUUUUGGAAAUGGAGUCUUAGUCUGUCGCCCAGUCUGGAGUGCAGGGGCACAAUCUCAGCUCACUGCAACCUCUGCCUCCCAGGUUCAA